rnacentral:rRNA from 1 species
UACGAAGGGGCUAGCGUUGCCCGGAUUUAUUGGGCGUAAAGGGCGCGUAGGCGGUCACGCACGUCCGUUGUGAAAUCGCUCGGCUCAACUGGGCGGGGUCAGCGGAUACGGCGUGGCUGGAGCAAGCUAGGGGGCAAUGGAAUUCCCGGUGUAGUGGUGGAAUGCGUAGAUAGUCGGAGGAACACCAGUGGCGAAGGCGGUUGCCUGGAGCUUUGCUGACGCUGAUGCGCGAAAA